ensembl:snRNA U6 U6 spliceosomal RNA
GUGCUCACUUAGCAGCACAUAGACUAAAACUGGAACAAUACAGACAGGGUUAGCAUGACCCCUGUGCAAAGAUGACAUGCAAAUUCGUGAAGCAUUCCAUAUUUUU